AAAUGAUUUACCUGUCUGUUCUGCUUCACUUUCAUCUCAGCUUUCAGGGCUUCAUUCAUCAAUCUUUUAUUUACACACGCAUAUCUCAUUUUUACACAAUUCCUCUCUCCCUGACCAGAUGGCUGCGCUGGCUGCUCGGUGUUCAUCAAAGGCAAGAGGAAACACACGGAUGCCUCGUGGCAGCCAGGGAGCUCGGGGUAACUCUGCUUUUCAGCAGCAAUUCUCCAGACUGGGGAAGAGCUGAUGGACAUAAAGGAGUGCAAGAAGCUGAGCAGCACUGAGAGAUUUGAUGUUAAAUGAGAACCAGGAGUCUCUGAAGUGAAGCUAAACUGAAACACAGCCCUCUCCUCUCCUUGUCCUUCCCUGAGAGCACCAAAAGGAGCAAGCUCUGCUGACACUGGAAUGUAAGACAAAUAUGCAUUUAGAUAAUUUUUUGGAUUAAGAUUUUUAGCAAUUUUUAUCUACUGCUGAUGGUGACUUUUUGCUCUGGCGACUACUUUGUCAUUUUAUACCAUUUAAUACGUAUUUCCAGAGGGAAAAAAUUCAAAUGCUGAAAUGUUGUCAGACCUGAAGCUGGAUACACAAAAAAUGAUGGCUCAGGGCUGAAACUUAGAGAGAAAUACAAAGUUCUCUGAAUAGGAAACAAUGGGGGACUAGAGGCUGCAAUUGGCCAGUUGUGCCAAUGUCAGUUAUACCAUUUUCCUUUCAAAUUGUCCAUACUCUUGAUCUUUUUGACUGACAAAAUAAUGCUGGAACCACGGGUGCUUAGUUUGGCUUUUCUGUACAAGCACUUUUAAAGUUAAACAUUUUUUAAAAGUCCCAAAACAAAAACAAAACCAACAAAACAACAACAAAAACAAUUACUGCAGCUCUAGUUAUAGAUAAUCACAAGACCUGACUGUGACAUCUUCACUGCAUCUAUUUUUUUCACAUUCUUUCCAUGGGAAGAGUGUUUUAAAAAUUAUUAAAACCAACAAAAAAUCCCAAAA